UUGGUAACAAGGGGUUUGGAGGAAGCCGAUAGCAAAAUGCAUGUUCGACGAACAGGAAGCGGAUAUGAGGCAUGGCUGUAGGGCAUGAAGGCAUAAGGAUUCAACGCCCGAUACUCAUACGGAUACAGCAACGUAGAUCCGACGGACAGGCAGGAAAGGUA
rnacentral:ncRNA from 1 species